CAGAUAUACAUGGUUGCCUGCGUGUUUAUAACGUUCCUGAGCGGUGUUUUUCAUGAAGAUAUAUGUCUAUAUAUAUGGAGAGGUAGAGGUAUCACCAUGUUUAUUCACAGAUUUCCCCCCUUUUUUAUUAAUUUUAUAGUAGGAAAAUCGAGAGGAGAAAACUAUUCCAUUCAUUUAAUUUUGAAGGAUGUGAUUACAGUGAGAAUAUACCAAUUGAAACGUAUUCAAGGAUAAAAUAUUGGAGACAUGCUUUAUAUGCACAAAGAGAGAAGAACCGUUCUUUCAUUUUUCGAUCUACUCAAGAGACAAGAUUAUUUUUAAAUUAGUUUUUUUUUUCUUUCAGAUUUUAAAGUUUAUGAAUUAAAUUAUAUGUUAUUUUGAAUUAA